ensembl:snRNA U5 U5 spliceosomal RNA
ACACUCUUGUUUCUCUUCAGAGCGUAUAAAUCUUUCGCCUUUUACUAAAGAUUUCCGUGGAGAGGAACACUUUGAGUUCAAUCUAAUUUUUUGAUGCCCUGCCUCGUGCGGGGCU